GGUUGUGGCUCAGUGGUAGAGCGCUCGCCUAGCAUGUGCAAGACCCUAGGUUUGAUCCUCAGCACCA
rnacentral:tRNA from 1 species